ACUAAGGAAUAAAAUAUGGCAGAAGUGAUGGAAUGUCAUUUCUGAGAUUAGGUUACAAAAAACGGUGGCUUCUAUGUGGGAAGCUUCUUUUUGCUCUAUUUCCUUCUUGGAUUCUCUCCUUCUGGGAGAAGAGAGCUGCCACCUUAUGAGCGUGCCUAUGGAAAAACUCCUGUAGUAAGAAACUGAUGUCUCUGGCCAGUAGCCACUGAGUACCUGAACCCUGGGAACAGCCACAUAAGAAAGGUUGAAAGCAGAUUUUCUGAGGCCUACCAGAAGCCACUCUCCAGGCUGGAGUUCAGUGGCAUGAUCUCGGCUCACUACAACCUCUGUCUCGUGGGUUCAAGCGAUUCUCCUGCCUCAGCCUCCUGAGUAACUGGGACUACAGGUGCCCACGACCACGCCCGGCUAAUUUUUGUCUUUUUAGUAGAGAUGGGGUUUCACCAUGUUGUCCAGGCUGGUCUCAAACUCCUGACCUCAAGUGAUCCACCCAUCUUGGCCUCCCAAAGUGCUGGGAUUACAGGUGUGAGUCUACUGUUAUUUUAAAACUGCAGCAAAGACCCCAGAAUCAUCAAAUGCUCCGUGCAUCAGCCUUUUGCAUGGAAACCAAAGAAGUGGCUCCUCCUCUUCAAGAGCUGGGGUGAGUCACCAGCUGAAAUUCAGGGGACGCGGGAUCUUGUCCCACCCUGCUGCCCUGUCACUUCAUCACCCGCGCUCCGCUUCACCAGUGUGCCGUGAGACGCUGGAGUGGAGAGCCCGUGGCCACUCCACCUGCGAGGACCCGCGAUCUUCACCCCGGUUCUGGGAUAAAGAACCCAUCGCAGAGUGGGGCAGUGGUAAGGGCUGGGAGACACGGAAGCCAGAGCGAGGGCACGGGCUGCCUCUCACUAGGGAGGGGGACAUCAGUCCCUCAUGGGGGAAGGAGAAGGGCCGCGAAGGAGCGGGAGCACGCGGAGCGAACGCCCAGAAUCAGAGCCCCAACACACCUGGGUUUCUUCUGCCGCUUCGACUUCUCCUCCUUCCUCGGAAUCUCCUUUUCCUUCUUUGGGGCUGCUGUGUGCUCCUUGAAGGAAGCCCUCUCGUCCCGCUUUCUCCUCCCCUCGCAGGUCCUCUCUGCCUUGCUCCGCUCCUGUUCCCCCAGCUCUUCUCUGUGCCUCCUGCGCCCUGUUUGCUUCCGCCGGGGAGACCCCGGGCUUGGGCUGCCCCCGGCGCGCUCCUUCUGGCUUCGCUGAGCUCCGCGCCUGCCUGGGGUCCCCUCGGCUUUGAGAGCCUGCUUGCUUGAGGAUCUCCUUCCCAGCCUGUCACCUGCAGGGGCAGGAAAAUGGACAGUUCUGGUUCCAACGGCCUCAGCCCCAGGAAAAUGUCCCUGGCCGUGAGAAAUCAAACGUCCAAGAUGAUUCCGAGAGCUUGUGGGCUCUGCGGGGCUCAGAACAGGACAUCCCAAAAUAUGGCACCUUGGCAUAUUGAGUAUUUUAAGCUGAAGGAAACUAAGAAAACUGCAGAAGCAGCAAGGUCACUCUCUGGCCUUCUCCCUCCCGUCUCCCUUGAAGACCUCCUGUGACAGGUGUCUUGCCCUAUACCCAAGGAAAAGAAAGUCACAUAGAGAGGCCAAGAGGAAUCUGAACAAACAGGCUUUGCUACUUCCCCCUGGUUGAUUACCACCACAUCAUACCCUUUUGUCCUCCAAUCAUAAUUCUGCACAACUGUCCAUAAAAAUACAGUUUUCCCUGUAUAUUUGGGUCUUCAUUUCUGUAGGCUCUUGUGUUCCUUAAAACUUACAUUAAAUAAAAUUGGAUGCUUCUAUCUUG